CCUACGGGAGACAGCAGUGAGGAAUAUUGGUCAAUGGACGGAAGUCUGAACCAGCCAUGCCGCGUGCAGGAAGACGGCUCUAUGAGUUGUAAACUGCUUUUGUACAAGGGUAAACCUGAAUACGUGUAUUCAGCUGAAAGUACUGUACGAAUAAGGAUCGGCUAACUCCGUGCCAGCAGCCGCGGUAAUACGGAGGAUCCAAGCGUUAUCCGGAUUUAUUGGGUUUAAAGGGUGCGUAGGCGGAUUGAUAAGUUAGAGGUGAAAUGUCCGAGCUUAACUCGGGAACUGCCUCUAAUACUGUUGAUCUAGAGAGUAGAUGCGGUAGGCGGAAUGUAUGGUGUAGCGGGGAAAUGCUUAGAGAUCAUACAGAACACCGAUUGCGAAGGCAGCUUACCAAUCUAUAUCUGACGUUGAGGCACGAAAGCGUGGGGAGCAAACAGGAUUAGAUACCCUAGUAGCC
rnacentral:rRNA from 1 species